rnacentral:rRNA from 1 species
UGCUUGUCUCAAAGAUUAAGCCAUGCAUGUCUAUGCACACGCCCUUGAAUGGCAAAGCCGCACAUGGCUCAUUACAACAGCCACAGUUUAUUAGAUCGUACUAUCCUACUCGGAUAACUGUGGUAAUUCUAGAGCUAAUACACGCAUUCAAGCUCGGACUGGUGACGGAACGAGCGCAUUUAUUAGAGCAAAACCAAUCGGACCCUCGGGUCCGUUCUUUGGUGAAUCUGAAUAACUUCGCAGAUCGCACGGUCUCGUACCGGCGACGAAUCUUUCAAAUGUCUGCCUUAUCAACUUUCGAUGGUGUUUAUACGCCGACUAGGGUUGUAACGGGUAACGGAGAAUUAGGGUUCGACUCCGGAGAGGGAGCCUGAGAAACGGCUACCACAUCCRAGGAAGGCAGCAGGCA